ACGGGAGGCAGCAGUGAGGAAUAUUGGUCAAUGGACGAGAGUCUGAACCAGCCAAGUAGCGUGCAGGAUGACGGCCCUAUGGGUUGUAAACUGCUUUUGUACGGGAAUAAAGUGACCUACGUGUAGGUUUUUGCAUGUACCGUAAGAAUAAGGACCGGCUAAUUCCGUGCCAGCAGCCGCGGUAAUACGGAAGGUCCGGGCGUUAUCCGGAUUUAUUGGGUUUAAAGGGUGCGUAGGCGGGAUGUUAAGUCAGCGGUGAAAGCGUGUAGCUCAACUAUACCAAGCCGUUGAAACUGGCGUUCUUGAGUGUAAACGAGGUAGGCGGAAUGUGACGUGUAGCGGUGAAAUGCUUAGAUAUGUCGCAGAACCCCGAUUGCGAAGGCAGCUUACCAGCAUACAACUGACGCCGAGGCACGAAAGUGCGGGGAUCAAACAGGAUUAGAUACCCUGGUA
rnacentral:rRNA from 1 species